ACCUUUUAAAUAGAAAAUAAACAAGGAUCUUAAGGCUUCCCUGACCAAGAAGAAAAGUCUCACUCUACACUGUCUAGCUAGGUUUGAGCUUAUCAGCCUAAAAAGUGUGAUUAAAAUAGACAUGACUUAAUUAAAACAGUGUGAAAAUCUAAUCAGAGGCAACUUCACUGAUAGUCACUAAAAUAUCCCAAAUAGACAGCGUCACGGGCACUAACGGCAUAACUUGCUUGUUUUACUUUCUAUCAACAUUCAGCUUUCCAGAGACAUCCACUGUGCCCGCAAAAGCUUCUUAUGUCCCCUUAUUCCUUCACUGCCUGCCUUUUUAGCCACUUCUCUUCCUAGUGGAGUGAACCAGAAAGAAAGAGGCCAGAAUGGAGAAGGAACACAAAAGCACAGCCAAGAUCAUUUAACAUCCAGAAAGUGGUUACUCCAGGAACAUAUGGCUGCGAGGAAGAAAAUGAAAUGACUGGUUAGGCAUCUUACAUUGAGUUUCUACUACCACCCUUCCUACUCAAGCAAAAUCUUUGUGAAAAGAUCCGCUGCAAAGGAACUGACUGCUUAUGGUUCUUCAUUGUGAUGAAAGCACAUGGUACAGUUUUCCAAAGAAGUUAGACCAAAAUUUUCUCGGUGAAAAGAAACCAACGUGCUGUUUGCAGAGGGAAUUUCUCACUUCUCUCUGAAAAGAAGGAAGAGCACACCAGAGCCAGGAGCCCCAACUUCUGUGGGAAGUUUCCAUGGUGAAGUAUAGGCUGAGCCUACUUGGGAACAGUGCACAGUGAAUGUUGUAAGUUAACAAACUGAGAGCAACAUCUGCAGUGGCUUGUCUCAUAAGGAUUUGUGAGUCACUGGAUGUAACUGAGCCAGGGUGAUGAAGGGGUAUUAGCAAGAGCUCUAGGUGAUCAUCCAAUUCUUUUUUUGUUUGUUUGUUUGUUAGAAAAGGUUCUGUUUGUGUUUGCCAUGACCUUGCCCUUUUGUCAUCCUCUGUGGAAUGAUAUUCAUUAUCUACUUCUGGAAUCAAAGACUGGGAUACAGUAACUUCUUUCAUUGUAGGAAUGCCCUUUCUGUUGGUGCAGUUAGUGGUGUCAAUUGCUUCUUGAGAGGGGCUAUUGCUGUUCUUUUAGGUCGAUGAAUAGGCUGAGGAUUAGCAUCCCGGAUUUCCAACCAAACAGUAUUCUUAAUUAUGUGAAGUUUUUGACUGGAAUAACAUUUUUUUCUAGCUUUAAAAUCUUGAGGUAUGUAAAUAUUAGCAGUUAUUUUGGGUGCUUCUCUAAUUCAAAAUUAGCUGUUUCUACUGGCUUUUGAUCAGGUUACUGUUUUGUGAUUUUGAAAUUAGUAAAGCAGGUAGUGCUGUGUGUUAGAGAAUCUUGGUGUUUCAGUAUCAAGUAAGUGAUGAGAUGACCCACAUUGCUAAACUUAAGGAGCUCAUCUGCUAUUAAACUUGAAAAGGGUUUGCCCAGUUCUACUUUUUGGACAUUUUACCUUAUUGCUAGACUAUGGCAAAAAAUUUUGGAAGAGUGUUGACUGAGGCAGAAUAUAGUCACAAGAGAUAAGGAAGAUUAUCUUCAAAUUUUAGAAGAUGAAGGGCCUAUUUCAACUCGGUUUUUCUGUGUCUAUGCAUAUUUUUGUAAUAUAUGUGAAUCCUUUCGUAUGUUAUGUAUGUAUGUUUUGACUUAAUUCAAUCAGAAUACCUUUUCAGUUUAUCACCUACUUUUUCCAGUUGCCUAAAAGAUUAUGACUAAAGGACUUGAUGCAGCAUGUAUCGGGGAGAAAAAAGUACGAAUGUCAAAAAGAAAACUCUCCACUGAAUUUUUCUCAUUUUAUAGGUAUCUAAACAUUUUCAUUAAAAUAUGCAUAUAUAUUCAUUUUACUUCGGGGCUAAAUUGCAGUAAUAAAGUGAACUCAAUGACAGAAUUUCCCAUUGUCUCAGAGUAAACAAUCAGAGCUGCUGGUUUAUGUGUUUCUGUUAUACAUAUGAUCACACUGGUCCUAAUGGUGAUUGCACAGCUCCUGGAACCAAUGAUAAUGAACCCUAUUCUUGGUUCUACCACUAAGGUCAAAUGUAUUCACAACCUUGGGCAAGUCACUAACUCUCCAAAAGUAGUAUUUUGUAACUCUGUAGGUUGCUGCAUACCAUCUGUUCGUUGAACAGUCACCUGUUUGGAUUGGAACCCUCAGAAUUAUGUGGGCACUUUAAGAGCUAACAAAACUAUCUUAUUGUAAAAGCUUCUAUCACUACUAAGGAAUAAUUUGGGACCUUGGUUGGAUUUCGGGUGAAAUUCUUUUUCCAAUCUGGUAAUUUUUAGAACAGUGAUAUUUUAAAGUUUUUUUUUUUUUUAUCCUAGGGAGCAAACGUCUUACAGGAAAAGUGCUUUGGGUCUCUACUUCUAUAAUCAAAACAGUUUUUGUCUCAAAGCUAGUGUUUUAUUUUUUUUUUUAAUUGUUGCUUUGAAGUGCUCAUGUCAGACCUCAGGCAUUAAGUGAGGUUUUGAAAGCAGUUCUGAAGUGUAAACUUUAAAAUGCCACAUUUCAGUCCUAAAGUGACUUUAAAAUACUUCUGCAAAUGGAGUGCAGUUGAGAGAGCAGACAAAAAUACUGAAUUCUAGUGGAUUCCUUAAGCAUGCUAAAGACAUUCUUUUCACAGCUGCACUGCUUGAGGAGGAGGGAGGUUCCAAUUUUCUUAAAAAAUUUUGAAAUCAGUAACCUCUCCUGAUCUUGGUAUAUUCUUACAUCAAGAGUUUCUCUUUUCUCCUGGUUUUGGUGUCCUGGGUGUCUGGAGGUCUGUGCCAUAGAGCAGUAUUACCCCAGAAAGGAAGGGGACGUUCAAGGAACAUGUGUUCUCAUAUAUGAUGGGGCAUGGGUGUGGACAUCUGAACAUGUGAGUGAUAAUCAUGGGUGUGACAUGAGAGUUCACACUUCAGAAGGCCUUGCAGAUUGAACCUCAAACUCAUUACUCACUGCACUUGCUCCUUUCAUGUCUCACUAUUCGUCUCUCACAUCUGUCACUGUCUUCCUAACAAAUGGCCUUUGUCUCUAAGGUGUCUUAGGCAGUAGCUUAUACAAAAAAGGAGUGGCAGUAAAACCUGAAUGAAGAGGCAAGGGACCUGGGUUCUCCACAUGAGGCUGCAGUUGGCUGUAUCCUUGAGCCCUCUGUAUCCUGGGGACCCAUUUUAUGAUGAGCAACAUGAGAAAAUUGAGGUCAGAGACCUCUGUUGGCUCUUCUGGUCUCAGUGUCCAAUAUUACAGCAAAUGUCAGUCUCCAGAGAGGCAGACUGGAACCUCCUAAAAGCCAGUGAUUUGGCACAACCUUAUUCACAACUGCUUUUAAUCUACUGAGCACAGCUUUAUGGUAAAAAAAAAAAAAAAAAAAAGUUAUUGAAUCUG